AUGUGUGUCUGUCUGUCUCUGUGUGUGUGUGAGAGUCUGUGUGUGUGUAUGUGUGUCCAAUCAUCAAACUGUCUUGAGCUGCUGGACCUUUUCUUGGAAGUUGAAGACGGUUUCGGCCAGACGCUGGACGUACGGGUCGAGCUUGUAGGACUCCCAGACCAGCGAGAUGCCCUCGGUGAUGAGCGCCUGCACUUCCUUCUUCAGGCCGGCCACCAGCAGCGAGAUGGACAUCCUCUCCUCCACCUUCUCACAGGUGCGCUCGUAGGUGCGCACGCUCUCGAUGAGCGAGAUGGCGAAGGGGUACAGCUGGUUGGCCUGAUGGGCUUUGUUGACGAUGGCCAGCGGCACGCGGAAGCUCAGCCACUUCAGGUUGCGCACCUCUUUGGAGAGCGUGAUGAUCUCGGGCAGGAAGUUGACCUUGAGCUUGAGCAGGGUGCCGGUGCGUCCGCGGGCGCGUGUGUUCUCGAUGGUGAAGAUGCGGCCGGACACGCCCAGGUUACGCUGCUGGACCUUCCUCGCCCAGUCCUCGAAGAUCUCCUGCGUGUUGAGCUUGGCACGGAAGCUGUCUCCGUCCUGCUUCAGCUUCAGACCCUCCACGUGGUUCUCCCAGCCCUUGCCCAGGACGUCUUCCACGCGCUUCAUGUAGGCCGUCAGCUGCCGGUCGAUCUGCUUGGCCCAGAUGAUGGAGCCGGAGACGGGAGGCAGGUCUCGCACGUGGCUCAUCUUGCAGGACUGGCUCUGAGGAUACUGCACCUUGAACUUGUCGUGCAGAGCCUCGAUGUCGUCUUUGACGCGCUGGAUGAGCUGCGUCUGGUACUCUCGGAUGGCUCCGCGGAUGUGCGGCCGCACGAACAGGGCGUUGAAGCGGGAGAAGAUGCGGAACAUCUCGUUGGCGUUCUUGGCGGUGCCCAGCUGGUCGCGCAGGCGUGCGGUGAUGCGUGUCUCCACGCGGUCGAUGCGCUCGUCGUAGCGCUUCAUGGCCGCUUCCCAGGCCUCCACUCCCUCCUUCGACACGUCCAGUCCGUCCACUUCCUUCACGUUCUCGUAGGCCAGAUUGACCUCCUCGAUGGCGUUGACGUCUGCGGCAUCCAAGAGCACCUCGGCCACCUUCAUAUCGUCGGGCUCCGCCGUCUUCCCCUGAGCAUGCUGGGUAACGGCAGACACCUGGAGAGAGACAUAGACUGCAUUAGCUCUGUUCUGAUUGGUCCGUCAGCAGACUCCAGGGUGUGUUAUUGUAGAUAA
rnacentral:lncRNA from 1 species